rnacentral:lncRNA from 1 species
ACACCUUUUGCUCUUGCUUUUUGGUUUUAUUUUGUUUUGCAAAACAGGGGAGUAGUGACUUCCGGACUAGGCUUUCUGCCUUGUGCCAGAGAGCCACAGUACACUGUUUUUAUUUUUAUUUUUUGGUAAGACUUGCAAUGAGAGGAACUUAGAAUAUAAAAUAUUCAUUUCUUUUAAACAAAACCAUUUCUUUUUCUUUUAAAUAGAUAUGUGAUCAUUUAGCACACGGGUGUUAAGUUCAUUCUUGCUGCAAAAGAAGGCCAUUGUAUCUCCUGACCCUGAAAGCAAGGAAGUAUUUGAAGCCCAGGGGAUUGUGGUGAAAAAGACAAACACUGCCCCAUCUGUCCUGAAACAGACAUUUCAGAGGAGGGAAAUGGAUGAUAAACAGGUAAGUAAAUACUGUAGGUAAACAGAAUGGUUUCAAAUCACAAUAAGUCCCAUGAAAUAAACACACAGACUGUGUCACAGGACUUUCAGCUGAGACCCCUUUGAGAUGCAGUGACUUCCCAUGUUUGCCUGAAAG